rnacentral:rRNA from 1 species
CUUGCUCUUUUCAGAAUUGAGUGGCAAACGGGUGAGUAACACGUAAACAACCUGCCUUCAGGAUGGGGACAACAGUUGGAAACGACUGCUAAUACCGCAUGAUACUUUUGGGUAGACAUCUCCUGGAAGUCAAAGCUUUAUGUGCUGAAAGAUGGCCUCGCGUCUGAUUAGAUAGUUGGUGAGGUAACGGCCCACCAAGUCUACGAUCAGUAGCCGGACUGAGAGGUUGAACGGCCACAUUGGGACUGAGAUACGGCCCAGACUCC